CGGCGAAGCUUUCUGUCCGUUAUCCAAGAAAGCACUCGGUUGUGCUGUGGGAAACACUGAUUUCCUUAGACGCGUUCGUCGUCAAGAGCAUGAUGUGAGGACGGGUUAGAUGCCCA
rfam:Bacillus sp. MTM 13 66, whole genome shotgun sequence.